GACGAACGCUGGCGGCGUGCCUAAUACAUGCAAGUUGAGCGCUGAAGGUUGGUACUUGUACCAACUGGAUGAGCAGCGAACGGGUGAGUAACGCGUGGGGAAUCUGCCUUUGAGCGGGGGACAACAUUUGGAAACGAAUGCUAAUACCGCAUAAAAACUUUAAACACAAGUUUUAAGUUUGAAAGAUGCAAUUGCAUCACUCAAAGAUGAUCCCGCGUUGUAUUAGCUAGUUGGUGAGGUAAAGGCUCACCAAGGCGAUGAUACAUAGCCGACCUGGGAGGGUGAUCGGCCACAUUGGGACCGAGACACGGCCCAAAACCCCACGGGAGGCAGCAGUAGGGAAUCUUCGGCAAUGGACGAAAGUCUGACCGAGCAACGCCGCGUGAGUGAAGAAGGUUUUCGGAUCGUAAAACUCUGUUGGUAGAGAAGAACGUUGGUGAGAGUGGAAAGCUCAUCAAGUGACGGUAACUACCCAGAAAGGGACGGCUAACUACGUG
rnacentral:rRNA from 1 species